ensembl:lncRNA
AUGGUGGCGCUGACGCGCAGGCCGGCGCACCUGGGGGCGCCACACGCCUCGGCGGGCCCCUGCUGGCCGCCGCCAGCUGGACGCGCGCCCCAGGCCCGUAGGGCCCGCGGGGGCCUGCGCGGCCCGAGCCUGCAGGGGCCUCCUGCCGCCGGCCAUCCGCGUCUUCGCCCGGGGGAGGCCGCCAGGACGAAGCCAGCGGCGGCCAGAUCCCGGACGCAGCACCGUGGGCCUGACACCGCGGCCCCCGCCAGGACGCGCAGCGCACUCACCUCGGACGCGCCCCGUGAGCAGACGAAGCUCGGGAAAGGAGGCGGAGCCGCGCGAAUGAAUGGAGCCGGCGGCUGCGGGCUGGCGACCUCCGGCCUGUCCCCGGCGGCGCCGUUCGCGGCUGCCUGGCGCGUGCGGCCGCCUCCCCCUCGUCCUGGACGCCGGGUUCCUGGUUGCGGGUCGGCCGCAGCCCACCGUGCCCUCCGCCGGCGUGACGCACUCGCGCCGCAGCGCCUCCAGCCUUUGCAGCCGCGCCGCGCCCGCGCCCACCGCGAAUCCCCCCGCCCGCGCCGUGCGGCCCCUCCUUGGCGCCGGGGACGCCGCCCUGCCUCGCUCCGGGCCCGGCCGCAGGCGCCUGCCGGGCAGAAUGUAAUCAAAGUAACCCAGAUCCAGAAGACCCAAGGACUCCUCCCCACUUGCCUCUGCUUUCCCCCCAACUCACUUCGUCCGCCUCAUAGUCCAGCGCAGAAUACACUGCCCCUGAAGAAAUCCAAGCUCUCAACAUUUAUUAAAAGUAUGGUAUCUUUUUCUUGAACUAAUGAAUGCAAGAGCUUACAUGUAUUUAUUUAAGUAUUGAGAAACAGUGUUGUAAUUAAAUAUUCUUAAGACAGAGCGAGGACUGGCUGAGAAGGACCUCCUCCUGCACAGCUGUGCAAACACCUCUGCCCAGACAGCCAUGGAAUCAGUGAGUCUCUUGCCCAGUGCUCCAGCAGGGUCAACCUGUGGAUGAAAGUGAUGCAGGGAAGCCAUGCCAUAAUGUCCUUGUUCUGUGGCUUCCACAUACACCUGGGCAUUGCACGAGGUCCUAUACCAGAGGAGGGCUUAAGAAAAGGCUGAAAUCCUGCCCAGGCUGUGCUUUCCUACCCAGUGCCUUUAUGUUUUAUCAGCCAUAGGAGGGAUGGCUUUUUGUAAUUUGUCUUCCCUGAGGGAGAGCCUUUUUUCUCUUAAAAGUCCCCUUUACACUAAGGUGACCCUCAUUAUGUUAGGUCAGGUAACUUUAACUUUAGGAGUGGAUCCCACAUAAUUUGGGAUCAUAUUUAGGCACAAGACAUAACUCCUUUUAAUUGAAAACUAAUUUCAGUGCAUUAUUUUUGUUUUGGUGACAUAUCCCACACAUUGGGGACACUAUUAAGAUUAAUAACCAAUACAUUAAUAGUACUUACACCUGUAAAUAAGUUCUAAAGUUAGGCAGGCAUUGUAAUCCCACCCCCAACACACCUAUUUAUCCUCUACCCACCCCUCAAAGCCCUACAGUUCCUCUAGCUUCACUUACUGAUUUAGAAAAUUAUUGCAAAGCAGAAUGCAUCAACAUUACUGCUUGGCUUUCUGAGUUUUAUGUGUCAGUGUUGUAAAGCAUGUUAAAUGUCAGCUUAGUUACCACACCAAGCAAUUAGAUGAACAGCUAAAGUCUUUCCUAUAGAUAACGUUGGCAUGAAAAAGGAUUUCAAGGUUAAAAUUUGCAUAUAGAAACAACAGACUCUUUAAUCAAGAAAACUAUAAAGCAAAUUGAAAAAAAAAAAACAAACACAAACCUCUGAGUGCUCAAGCUUGAAUAGGAAAAUAAAAAAUAGCAAGAGAAAUACUUGGAUUAUUUU